rnacentral:rRNA from 1 species
CAGUCGCCGCGGUAAUACGAGGGGGGCAAGCGUUGUUCGGAAUUAUUGGGCGUAAAGGGUGCGUAGGCGGCUUGACAAGUCUUGUGUGAAAUCUAUGGGCUCAACCCAUAGUCUGCACGGGAAACUGUCGGGCUUGAGAAUGGGAGAGGUGAGUGGAAUUUCCGGUGUAGCGGUGAAAUGCGUAGAUAUCGGAAGGAACACCUGUGGCGAAAGCGGCUCACUGGACCAUUUCUGACGCUGAUGCACGAAAGCUAGGGGAGCAAACAGGAUUAGAUACCCCAGUAGUCCCUGUCUCUUAUAC